rnacentral:hammerhead_ribozyme from 1 species
GUCCAGUUGAUGAGUCGUAAAUAGGACGAAACCUGUGUCUUGGAU